UACGCCCGAUCUCGUCCGAUCUCGGAAGCCAAGCAGGGUCGGGCCGGGUCAGUACUUGGAUGGGAGACCGCCUGGGAAUACCAGGUG
rnacentral:rRNA from 1 species